rnacentral:lncRNA from 1 species
UCGGUGGUGUUACAUUCACGCUGUUGCAGGAGUACAGGUCGGUGGUGUUACACACAUUCAUGCUGUUGCAGGCGUGCAGGUUGGUGCUGUUACACACAUGCUGUUGCAGGAGUACAGGUCGGUGGUGUUACAUGCUGUUGCAGGCGUGCAGGUCGGUGGUGUUACAUUCACGCUGUUGCAGGCGUGCAGGUCGGUGCUGUUACACACAUUCCUGCUGUUGCAGGAGUACAGGUCGGUGGUGUUACACGUGCUGUUGCAGGUGUGCAGGUCGGUGGUGGUACACACAUUCAUGCUGUUGCAGGAGUAUAGGUCGGUGGUGUUACACACAUUCACUGUUGCAGGCGUGCAGGUCGGUGGUGUUACACAUUCACGCUGUUGCAGGCGUGCAGGUCGGUGGUGUUACAUUCACGCUGUUGCAGACGUGCAGGUCAGUGCUGUUACACACGCUGUUGCAGGCGUGCAGGUUGGUGGUGUUACAUUCACACUGUUGCAGGCGUGCAGGUCGGUGGUGUUACACACAUUCAUUCUGUUGCAGGCGUGCAGGUCAGUGUUACACACAUUCACGCUGUUGCAGGCGUGCAGGUCGGUGGUGUUACACACAUUCACGCUGUUGCAGAUGUGCAGGUCGGUGCUGUUACAUUCACGCUGUUGCAAGCGUGCAGGUCGGUGGUGUUACAUUCACGCUGUUGCUGGCGUGCAGGUCGGUGGUGUUACACACAUUCACACUGUUGCAGACAUGCAGGUCGGUGCUGUUACACACAUUCAUGCUGUUGCAGGCGUGCAGGUCGGUGGUGUUACAUUCACACUUGCAGGCGUGCAGGUCGGUGGUGUUACACACAUUCAUGCUGUUGCAGGCGUGCAGGUCGGUGGUGUUACACACAUUCACACUGUUGCAGGCGUGCAGGUCGGUGGUGUUACAUUCAUGCUGUUGCAGGCGUGCAGGUCAGUGGUGUUACACACAUUCACGCUGUUGCAGGCAUGCAGGUCGGUGGUGUUACACACAUUCACGCUUUUGCAGGCGUGCAGGUCGGUGGUCUUACAUUCAUACUGUUGCAGGCGUGCAGGUCGGUGGUGUUACAUUCACACUGUUGCAGGCGUGCAGGUUGGUGUUACACACAUUCACACUUGCAGGCGUGCAGGUCGGUGGUGUUACACACAUGCUGUUGCAGGCGUGCAGGUCGGUGGUGUUACAUUCACACUGUUGCAGGCGUGCAGGUCGGUGGUACACACAUUCACACUGUUGCAGGCGUGCAGGUCGGUGGUGUUACACACAUUCAUGGUGUUGCAGGCGUGCAGGUCGGUGUUACACACAUGCUGUUGCAGGCGUGCAGGUCGGUGGUACAUUCAUGCUGUUGCAGGCGUGCAGGUCGGUGGUGUUACACAUUUUCACGCUGUUGCAGACGUGCAGGUCAGUGGUGUUACAUUCAUGCUGUUGCAGGCGUGCAGGUCGGUGGUGUUACAUUCACGCUGGUGCAGGCAUGCAGGUCGGUGGUGUUACACACAACGCUGUUGCAGGCGUGCAGGUCAGUGGUACACACAUUCACGCUAUUGCAGGCGUGCAGGCCGGUGGUGUUACAUUCACGCUGUUGCAGGCGUGCAGGUUGGUGUUACACACAUUCACACUUGCAGGCGUGCGGGUCGGUGGUGUUACACACAUUCAUGCUGUUGCAGGCGUGCAGGUCGGUGUUACACACAUUCACACUUGCAGGCGUGCAGGUCGGUGGUGUUACACACAUUCACACUGUUGCAGGCGUGCAGGUCCGUGGUGUUACACACAUGCUGUUGCAGGCGUGCAGGUCGGUGGUGUUACAUUCACACUGUUGCAGGUGUGCAGGUUGGUGUUACACACAUUCACACUGUUGCAGGCUUGCAGGUCGGUGGUGUUACACACAUUCACACUUGCAGGCGUGCAGGUCAGUGGUGUUACACACAUUCAUGCUGUUGCAGGCAUGCAGGUCGGUAGUGUUACACAUUCAUGCUGUUGCAGGCGUGCAGGUCGGUGGUGUUGCACAUUCAUGCUGUUGCAGGCAUGCAGGUCGGUGGUGUUACAUUCACGCUGUUGCAGGAGUACAGGUCAGUGGUGUUACACACAUUCAUGCUGUUGUGCAGCUAUCACUUCCAUCUCCAGAGCCCUUUUCAUCUUAAAACUGAAGCUCUCCCAUCACACAGUGACCCUUCA